rnacentral:rRNA from 1 species
GACGAACGCUGGCGGCGUGCCUAACACAUGCAAGUCCACGAGAAAGCGGUAGCAAUACUGCCGGUAAAGUGGCGAACGGGUGAGUAACACGUAGGUAACUUGCCCUUGGGACUGGAAUAACCUCGAGAAGUCGGGGCUAAUACCGGAUAAUGCAGCGGACCCGCAUGGGUAUGUUGUUAAAGUGGUCUUGGCUUGCCAAGUUCACACUAAGGAUGGACCUGCGUCCCAUUAGCUAGNGGUGAGGUAACGGCUCACCAAGGCGACGAUGGGUAGCCGGCCUGAGAGGGUGUCCGGCCACACUGGGACUGAGAUACGGCCCAGACUCCUACGGGAGCAGCAGUGAGGAAUAUUGGUCAAUGGCCGAAAGGCUGAACCAGCAACGCCGCGUGAGGGAUGAAGAU